ensembl:lncRNA LUCAT1 lung cancer associated transcript 1
ACAAUCAACACUCCACUCAGACAAUGCCCAGACCUCCAGAAACCAUGUGUCAAGCUCGGAUUGCCUUAGACAGGUGCAAUUUAAGAACAGCUUUCAUCCUCUUUUCUCUCAUAUUGUCACACUAUGUGUUCUGACUUCUGGCUCCUUUCCUCACAAGAAGCUCACCCAGCUGGAACUCUUAUGGGACCUUGGCACCAGAGACCACAAAUUCCUCUUUGAAGUUUUCUAACAGCAACAAUGGUAUUUCUGACUUGGCUUUCUUGUAUUUCUCUCACGUUAACAAAAUUGGUUCAGCAUCUACCAUGGGCUACAUGCUGAGCUACAGAGUUUCGCUCUGUCGCCCAGGCUGGAGUGCAGUGGCGCGCGAUCUCGGUUCACUGCAAGCUCCACCUCCCGGGUUCACGCCAUUCUCCUGCCUCAGCCUCCUGAGUAGCUGGGACUACAGGCGCCCGCCACCACACCCAGGAAUCCAACUUGCUGUUUGCUAUCACAUGUGCUAUACAUGCUGUUGAUGAAACUGCUAAAGGGGCUGAAUGUGACUGACGUCUUUGGAAGGAUGAGACUUAGCGUGCCUGUACAGUUGUGUCCAAAUGCUGUCCUCAUCUCCCAAUGAAAAGGGUUUUUCCUUAAGCCUCACAACAAUUUACAGCAUUGCCAGCAGCAUUCAGUACAUUCAGAACAGGAUAAUUUCACCCGCAGCUGAACUAGGGCCAUGCCUGGGACAGACAGAGAAUGGCCUUCCAGCAGACAUGCCAAGAAGCAAGCCAGGGUCAGUGAGUGAAGAGGAGGGCAGGCCCAUUUGAAGCAACACAGUUUAUGAACAAAACCCAUCAGAAGAUGUCAGAAGAUAAGGAUUUUUGUCCUGAUGCUACACUUACCAGCUGUCCCUCAGUGUUCUACUUCUUAAAAAAAGAGAGAUGGAUAAACAGAGGCAACCCGAGGAUAAAGGCCUUGCUCAGUGUCACACAUUUCAGUCACUAAAUAAGACACAAUGGAUGCCAGUAUUCUCAUCCCCUCACAAAUAAAGAGCCUUCAAGCUCUUGCAGUCAACAAGAACUUUUGGAAUGAUUUCACUGCCUGAAAAGGCAGAUACAUAGGUGACACCCACAAAUAGGAAGAAAAUCAACCUGAACCUGAGUGUGUGGGCUCACUGACUCUAAGCAGUAGAGACAGAAGAAAAAGUUUUAGCAAAGAAGGGUUCUGAAAGAAAAUAAAUAUAGCUCGUUAUCAAGUGCUGUUUUUACACAGUAAAACAUGGGCAAAAUUACUCUUCUUUAAGUAGUAAUUCUUAUCUCUUGAUUAAGUCACCUACUCAUUCAUUUAAUAAAUACAUACUGAUUGUUUUCU